UACGAAGGGGGCUAGCGUUGCUCGGAAUCACUGGGCGUAAAGGGCGCGUAGGCGGAUCUUUAAGUCGGGGGUGAAAGCCCAGGGCUCAACCCUGGAAUUGCCUCCGAUACUGGGGAUCUAGAGACCGGAAGAGGUGAGUGGAACUGCGAGUGUAGAGGUGAAAUUCGUAGAUAUUCGCAAGAACACCAGUGGCGAAGGCGGCUCACUGGUCCGGAUCUGACGCUGAGGCGCGAAAGCGUGGGGAGCAAACAGG
rnacentral:misc_RNA from 1 species